AUUAUUCAGCUGUUAAAAAGAAUACAUUUGAAUCAGUUCUGUUGAGAUGGAUGAAACUGGAGGCGAUUAUACAGAGUGAAUCUGGUCCCUGUCAUCUCUUCAUCCUUGGACCUAGGAAGAUGGAUAAAGAGCAAUAGAGGAAUUGUGCAUUGAAUCUUAAAGCUUCUGCUCAAAUGGCACAUGUGGCACAAAACUUCUGCCCAUAUUAUGUUGAAUAAAUAAGUCAUGUUUCCAAGGCUUUGGUUAAAAAAAAAAGAAGAGAGAAUUAUACCCUUCUUACAGCAAUGGAGGAGGAUCUCUGAAGAGAUGAACUAAGUAGAAUAAGAUAGCUAGUUGUGCAAUUAAUAAAUAACUCAUAAUGAUA
ensembl:lncRNA